AGCUUCUCUUUCUGCUGUCCUCCCACAUGUCUCAUUUCUUGUUGAACAGUCACAGAAAUAAUACUGAUAGCAGUAAUAGUAAUAGGCAUUUCUCUCCUCGUCUUCUGCCUUUUUGGUGUUUUUCAGUGUGAGCACACACAUACGUAAAUGCAUGCAAAGACUGCUGAAUUCUGCACAAACACUGGCUGGAGUACUCUCUGUGAUCAGCAGUUGGCUUACUGGCAAGCAGGCCCAGAACUGUAGGUCAGGAUCUCCAUUCAUGCUGUGAUCUGUCCGUGGUACUUGGCAAAGCUCACUAGCAAUGUGAAAAGAUUCCCAGCCAGCCAUGAAAGCACAGUUGAUUUAAAGCUAUCCGAGAUGGGAAAUUGUGCUCUUCACUCACUUUCCCUCUUUCCACUUGCUGGGAAGGGAGGACAACCUGAGCAACCAUCUUAGACCUAGGAAUGAAGCCAUGGAGCCUUCCACCAGCUGCAUACCUGGAUGACUAUGUGGAGCAGAGGCACCCAUUCAUUCCUGUCUUAUUUGAGCCCAUUUAUUUUGGAGAAAUCCUCUUUUUGCCAUUUUUUCAUAUGCCAACUGCUUUGUUGCUCUCUCAACUAGACUCCAAGUAAGAAAUG